rnacentral:lncRNA from 1 species
GUCACUGAUAAAGGUCUCGUACCGCAGCACUUUCUCCCCCACCGUAUCCAAGGCCCGCCGUUUCGGGGGCGUCGCCAUGACGGGCACCUGGGGGAGUAAAGGGGGGGGCACGUUGAGCGCUCUAUUUAAACUUCACAAAAUUCUCUCCAGCCACUCAACGUUGGGGAUGACUUCUUUCGGCUCGAGCUACGGAGUUGCUUCUGCCCAACCCGAUUUUGGAACUCGUUCACUCACCGGUACAGGAGUACGGCGUUUACCGUAGGGCCACCGGCAAUAACUGCCAGAAGAAGUUGUGGGAUUCCCUGGAACUGGAGCAACCAACAGUUUGUGUGCACCAUGUGGGUAAUGGGAAUCGAACCUGGGUCCUCUAUAAGACUGGCCAGUGCUCUUAACUACUGAGGUGCAUUUCUUUCGGAAUUGAUUCACAUAACUAUUAUGCUAUACUGUUUGAAGUAUUUAUUAGAAAAACAUCAGAAAGAGAUUUGGACCACUUUCAUUUACAUGAAGAAAUAUCUUAGGGGUGAGAUCCGUAUCUAUAAUUGUGCUUCUUACACAUUUCACCCUACAUUAAAUUUUAACUUGAGGAUAAUUUAUAUAGUAUUUUUGGCAACCUUAUUUUGAUGAUGAUUCUUAACAGUCACAUGUAGAAUUUUGAAUCUCUGUGUCAUGGCAGUGUUCAAAAAGUUUUCAAUUUUAGUGACUUUGGGACUUUGAGAUUUGAGUACCUGCUGCUAUGUGAUCUAUUUUCAUUGUGCCAGUCUUAGGCUAAAUCCUGUAUAAACAUAAUCUCAUUUUCAUUUUCACAACCACUUGAGAUAUCUUUGACUCAUUUAAAAGUGAAACUCAAGAAACGUUUUUGUUCAAUCACACCUAAAUUUUGGCAGAGCUAAAAUUUUAAUUUGUAUUAAUCUUAAUUCAAAUCUCACAUACUUUCUCAUAUUUCUCUUGUCUACUGUACAGUAUCCAGUAGGUUGAACUGUACUUUGACACUACCAUAAAAUGUUUAGUUGCAAAUGUUGUAUGAUUCUGACAGUUUCUUUUCAGGUAUCUUUGAGUAUCUUCUGACACUAGAAGAUCCUGUAAACUCUACAGACUUCAACAGAAUUGAAGAACCUGGACAGAGCAGAGUUACCAACAAGAGAGCCCAGGGAUAGCAUUAACAUGGUGGUUACUCAAGACCUAACUCAGCCAGGGAGACAUACCAAGGCCUAUGAGGUGAAGGGAAAAGAAGGGUGACCCAAAGGGCAGGAAUUUUUUAUCCUGAACUUUUGAGCCUUAUAGAAAAACAUAAUUUGUUGGGCAUGUUUUCUGACCCUCAUACAGUUUUUACAACCAUUUGAAGAUAUAGUUCUAGCUCUAGUAGGCUCUACAGGAAGGUAUAUCAAACUUUUUAACAGAACACUUUAUUAUUUUAAAUAUAUGAGUAUUUCACCUGCAUAGGCGCACAGUACCCACAGAGACUAGAAGAGGGUGGCAGAUCUCCUGAGACUGGAGUUAAUGCUUGUGAGCUGCCAUGUGGAUGCUGGAAAUCAAACCCAGGUCCUUUGGAAGGCAGGCAGGUGCUCUUAAUCAUGGAAGCAUCUCUUCAGCUCCUACCCUAGUUCUUUAAUUUUGUUUUAAAUUUUUGAGGUAGGGUUUUGCUAAGUUACUUGGGCUGGCCUUGGACUAGUAACCAUUCUGUGUCAGCCUUCUGGGAUUAGAGGUAUGUGCUAGCAUGUCUAGCAUCUUUCUAUUUCUUUGGUUUUCCUUCUAAUUAAUUAAAAAAUACAUUAUCUUCUAAAUCUUUUAUUGUACAUCAUGAAUGCUAUUUCAGUUUUUGUUUAAAUAAGCUUAAAUGUAAACAUCACUAUAAGUACACCACUAUUUCUAUUGUGCAGUUUCAGUGAUACAAUAUCUUAUCACUUACAGAGUAUUAGUAAUAGUUUAAUUUAAAAAAAAUCAUUUAUUGUUGUUUUUUGUCUCACCCCCCUCCCCUCCCCCAAUCUCUGGAGCUGAGGACCAAACCCAGGGCCUUGUGCUUGCUAAGCAAAUGCUCUACCGCUGAGCUAAAUCUCCAACCCCUAGUUUAAUUUUGUUUUAGAAAGACUCUUACUUAAUGUACUUGCUGUGUGUGAUGGUUUGUAUAUUCUUGGACCAGGGAGUGGCAACAUUUGGAGGUGUGGCCUUGUUGGAAUAGGUGUGACCUGGUUGGAGUAGGUGUGUCACUGUGGGUGUGGGUAUGAGACCCUCACCCUAGUUGCCUGGAAGUCAGUCUUCCACUAGCAGCCUUUGGAUGAAGACAUAGAACUCUCAGCUCUUCCUGUGCCAUGCCUGCCUGGAUACUGCCAUGCUCCCACCGUGAUGGUAAUGGACUGAACCUCUGAACCUGUAAGCCAGCCCCAAUUAAAUGUUGUUUUUUAUAAGA